GGCAGGGGGCGGCUGCUAUACAUGCAGUCGACGAACUUCCGUUAAUUGAUUAUGACGUACUUGUACUGAUUGAGAUUUUAACACGAAGUGAGUGGCGAACGGGUGAGUAACACGUGGGUAACCUGCCCAGAAGUAGGGGAUAACACCUGGAAACAGAUGCUAAUACCGUAUAACAGAGAAAACCGCAUGGUUUUCUUUUAAAAGAUGGCUCUGCUAUCACUUCUGGAUGGACCCGCGGCGUAUUAGCUAGUUGGUGAGGUAAAGGCUCACCAAGGCAGUGAUACGUAGCCGACCUGAGAGGGUAAUCGGCCACAUUGGGACUGAGACACGGCCCAGACUCCUACGGGAGGCAGCAGUAGGGAAUCUUCCACAAUGGACGCAAGUCUGAUGGAGCAACGCCGCGUGAGUGAAGAAGGGUUUCGGCUCGUAAAGCUCUGUUGUUAAAGAAGAACGUGGGUAAGAGUAACUGUUUACCCAGUGACGGUAUUUAACCAGAAAGCCACGGCUAACUACGUGCCAGCAGCCGCGGUAAUACGUAGGUGGCAAGCGUUAUCCGGAUUUAUUGGGCGUAAAGCGAGCGCAGGCGGUCUUUUAAGUCUAAUGUGAAAGCCUUCGGCUCAACCGAAGAAGUGCAUUGGAAACUGGGAGACUUGAGUGCAGAAGAGGACAGUGGAACUCCAUGUGUAGCGGUGAAAUGCGUAGAUAUAUGGAAGAACACCAGUGGCGAAGGCGGCUGUCUGGUCUGCAACUGACGCUGAGGCUCGAAAGCAUGGGUAGCGAACAGGAUUAGAUACCCUGGUAGUCCAUGCCGUAAACGAUGAUUACUAAGUGUUGGAGGGUUUCCGCCCUUCAGUGCUGCAGCUAACGCAUUAAGUAAUCCGCCUGGGGAGUACGACCGCAAGGUUGAAACUCAAAAGAAUUGACGGGGGCCCGCACAAGCGGUGGAGCAUGUGGUUUAAUUCGAAGCUACGCGAAGAACCUUACCAGGUCUUGACAUCUUCUGACAGUCUAAG
rnacentral:rRNA from 1 species